rnacentral:rRNA from 1 species
UACGAAGGGUGCUAGCGUUGUUCGGAAUUACUGGGCGUAAAGCGCGCGUAGGCGGUGAUGCAAGUCAGGGGUGAAAUCCCGGAGCUUAACUCCGGAACUGUCUCUGAAACUGCAUUGCUGGAGUGUGUGAGGGGAUAGCGGAAUUCCUAAUGUAGAGGUGAAAUUCGUAGAUAUUAGGAGGAACACCCGUGGCGAAGGCGGUUCUCUGGGACGGUACUGACGCUGAGACGCGAAAGCGUGGGGAGCGAACAGG